UACGGAGGAUCCAAGCGUUAUCCGGAAUCAUUGGGUUUAAAGGGUCCGUAGGCGGCCUUAUAAGUCAGUGGUGAAAUCUCCCGGCUCAACCGGGAAAUGGCCAUUGAUACUGUAGGGCUUGAAUUAUUAGGAAGUAACUAGAAUAUGUAGUGUAGCGGUGAAAUGCUUAGAGAUUACAUGGAAUACCAAUUGCGAAGGCAGGUUACUACUAAUAUAUUGACGCUGAUGGACGAAAGCGUGGGUAGCGAACAGG
rnacentral:rRNA from 1 species